AUGGGGGAGGUUUUCUGCCUGCCUGAGCGGGAAAGGAAGGAGCGCCCGUGGCCAACUCCAUAAGGUGGAAGCAAGAACUGGGAAGGUAGAUGGAGCCUGAGACUGAUGAAUAUCUGGAAAAUAUGAGAUUCACACACAAACCAAGAUAAACGUAGACAAUGCCAUUGUGAUGCCAACCUUGUUAUAUGCCUCUGAAACUUCGUAAAUGCUAGAAAACCACAACAGGAAACUUAAGGCAUUCCAUCAGAGAUGCUUGCAAAGAGUAAUUAGUGUCUGCUGGUGUCAUAAAGUAAACAACGCUGAUCUGUUACAAAGGACUGACCAGCAUACCGUACAGACAAUGAUUCAAGAAAGAAGGCUGAAGUGGUUUGGACAUGUUGUAUGGAUGUCAAAAAAACCUGUGCUCCUAGUCAAAUUCUUGACUGGCUAUUACCUGGUGGAAGACGGAAAAGAGGAGGAUAACAGAUGACAUAACAAAACCAAUGAGGAAAAAUACUGCUGUCAUGGAAAAAGACUAAAAUGGGGCAAGAAAUGUGGCACUAGACAGAUGGAGGUGGAAAGACUGAGUUGCUUCAUGUGUCACAAGGCAAAAGAGCAUCUAAUAUAUAAUGCAAAUAGUAUGUAGCCUGUUAAUACUGUAAAUUCUGUGGAUUUGGGCAAGUCACCCAACUUCUACCUUAAUUACACCAUCUGUAAAACAUGGAUAAUAUGUAACUUCCCAGGAUUAGUGAGAGUAUUAGCUGGGUUUAAAAAUCACUUUGACGAUUAGUUGUGUGUUAUACUCAGUUACCUGAAACUAUAACCUUAUCUACCCCAGAUAUUUUUCAUUAUAAAGGUAUCAUUCUGUAGUAGGAGUUUCUUAAAUAUGAAUGCAUUUAUUGAGCACCGACAGGGUCUUCAGCCCUGUAUGGAUGAAGACACUUCCUGCCCCAACAGAGCGUACAGUCUAGUUCAGAUACAUUAUAGUAAAGAACAUAACAGAGGUUGCAGAUUUUUUUAAACCUUGUUUAAAGAAAAAAAAAAGGCCACACCGCAUUGUUAAAAAGCAUUGUGGAAGGAGUAUCUUUCAGAGGAAUUGGCUUUACAGGGAGGGAGUGCCUUUACAGGGAGGGAGUGUCUAACCUCAGAGGUUAGACACAAGUGGAAGAAAGAGAUAAAAGAGGCAUUUAGGAAGACCAUAGGCGAUAUGGAAAUGGUUGGCGAUAGGAGGAAAUGAGAGCAGACUGUCAUUGAGUUAUGCAGAGCCUUAAAGACUAUGGUGGGAGGUUUGAAACUGAGGAGGAAGGCAAGAAGCUAAUUAAGAGAUUCAUAGAGGAGAGUAGCAUGGCCUGAGUGGUGAGGAAGGAAGGUUAUUUGUAGGGAUGUAGAGGAAGCAGUGAAAGGCUACGGCCAGAGUUUGGAUACGAAACAAUGAGAGUGAAGACUAUUAUAACAAGGUUGUGAGCCUGACUGGCGGGAAGAUAGUGGAGUUAUCUAUAGUGAUAGAGAUGGGGCUUUUGAAUCUGAGAUGUUCCAAAGAACUGAAGAUUUAAUAAAAAAAAAAAAAA